AGCAAAAGCGGCGCAGCCAGAGUA
rnacentral:siRNA from 1 species